UACGGAGGGGGCUAGCGUUGUUCGGAGUCACUGGGCGUAAAGCGCACGUAGGCGGACCAUUAAGUCGGGGGUGAAAUCCCGGGGCUCAACCCCGGAACUGCCUUCGAUACUGGCGGUCUGGAGGUCGAGAGAGGCGAGUGGAAUUCCGAGUGUAGAGGUGAAAUUCGUAGAUAUUCGGAGGAACACCAGUGGCGAAGGCGGCUCGCUGGCUCGAUACUGACGCUGAGGUGCGAAAGCGUGGGGAGCAAACAGG
rnacentral:rRNA from 1 species